rnacentral:rRNA from 1 species
UACAGAGGUCUCAAGCGUUGUUCGGAUUCAUUGGGCGUAAAGGGUGCGUAGGCGGCGCGGUAAGUCGGGUGUGAAAUCUUGGAGCUUAACUCCGAAACUGCAUUCGAUACUGCCGUGCUUGAGGACUGGAGAGGAGACUGGAAUUUACGGUGUAGCGGUGAAAUGCGUAGAUAUCGUAAGGAAGACCAGUGGCGAAGGCGGGUCUCUGGACAGUUCCUGACGCUGAGGCACGAAAGUGUGGGGAGCGAACAGG